GGGGGCGACCGGUUUCGACGGGAUAGAAGACUCGUUAAACUGCAUGCCGAGGUCCAGGCAUCUCGUUAAUCACCUGGAAAAACAAUAAGUGCCGAUUACGGCUACAUGGCCGCUGCUUAGCUAGCGGUUCGUUCUGGGUGAGACUCGCCUAUGGUCCCACCACAGGGCGUCAUUCUCAUAGGCUGGCUGAUGAUGGUGUCCAUGCGUCUGAAGUGAGAAAAUUAUGGACUGGUUUCACAUUUCGAGGUUACUAGCGGAUAGUGAAAUGAGAACAAUCUAGCUAACUAAGCAUGUAGAUGUUUCUCGGGACACUGUUUCGGACGGGAGUUCGACUCUCCCCGCCUCCACUU
rnacentral:tmRNA from 1 species